rnacentral:rRNA from 1 species
AGAGUUUGAUCAUGGCUCAGGACGAACGCUGGCGGCGUGCCUAACACAUGCAAGUCGAACGAAGUAUGUUUUUCGGAAUAUACUUAGUGGCGGACGGGUGAGUAACGCGUGAACAAUCUGCCCUAUACAAAGGAAUAGCCUCGGGAAACUGGGAUUAAAACCGUAUAACACUUUUACAUCGCAUGAUGAAGAAGUCAAAUUGAUUAAGAGGUAUAGGAUGAGUUCGCGUCUGAUUAGCUAGUUGGUGAGGUAAAGGCUCACCAAGGCGACGAUCAGUAGCCGGCCUGAGAGGGUGAACGGCCACACUGGAACUGAGACACGGUCCAGACUCCUACGGGAGGCAGCAGUGGGGAAUAUUGCACAAUGGGCGAAAGCCUGAUGCAGCGACGCCGCGUGAGUGAAGAAGUAUUUCGGUAUGUAAAGCUUUAUCAGCAGGGACGAUAAUGACGGUACCUGACUAAGAAGCCCCGGCUAACUACGUGCCAGCAGCCGCGGUAAUACGUAGGGGGCAAGCGUUAUCCGGAUUUACUGGGCGUAAAAGGUGAGUAGGCGGUUAUAUAUGUCAGAUGUAAAAGGCACAGGCUUAACUUGUGUAAGCAUUUGAAACUGUAUAACUUGAGUGCAGGAGAGGUAAGUGGAAUUCCUAGUGUAGCGGUGAAAUGCGUAGAUAUUAGGAGGAACACCAGUGGCGAAGGCGACUUACUGGACUGUAACUGACGCUGAGUCACGAAAGCGUGGGUAGCAAACAGGAUUAGAUACCCUGGUAGUCCACGCUGUAAACGAUGAGUGCUAGGUGUUGGCUAGCGAUAGUCAGUGCCGAAGUAAACACAAUAAGCACUCCGCCUGGGGAGUACGGUCGCAAGACUGAAACUCAAAUGAAUUGACGG